UUUAUGUAUGGUGGAUGAAUUGAAUUUGGAAGGAAACCAACUCAAUGGUUGUCUUUUUCUUUUUUAUUUAUUGCAAGAAUGCUACUAUAAGAAUGGCAUAUUUUAUCGUAUGACAGUCAUUGAAGAUUUAUCUUGAAUCUGGACAGGUUUUUGUCAAUUGUUAAUUACGAAGGUUGUGACUGUUCGUGCUGGCACCAAAAUAAAAUUUGUAGAAGGUUGCUGACUGACGAUAAAAGAGAAGCAUGUAUAUCAUGAAAAAUAAAAGACGGAAGUUCUGAAGUGACGACCAAGAAAGUUUAGAAGUGUAAUAUAGUUGUAAACAUGAAUGUAAACCAGGGAUGAAAAAUGUUAAUAUAAUUCUAAUUCUG